GCACACACUAGCUUUGCUUGCCAUGAGACAUGGCUAUUCAUAGGCGUGUAGAGCUUCGUCUCUAACUUUUCUAAAAUUGCAGGUAUGUCUUCUACUUUUCACAUUCCAAAAGAUAAAAUGAAAUUUGCUGUAAUAAUUAAUGGUGAAAGAGACAUUCUAUUCUGACCUAUAAGUUGUAUUUGCGCUGACAUUAGAAUAUGUGACGAAGAUAUCAUGUUAACUCAAAUUUACCACUCUUUGGUUAGACAUUGAAAGUGCAAUUUCUCAGUGAAUUAGUAGAAAAGGAGAUUUUUUUUCUUUAUACUUAAACAUCCAAAUGCCACAUCCACUGAAA
rnacentral:misc_RNA from 1 species